rnacentral:rRNA from 1 species
AGAGUUUGAUCCUGGCUCAGAAUGAACGCUGGCGGCGUGGAUUAGGCAUGCAAGUCGAACGCGAAUGAGAAUCUUCGGAUUCUUUAGUAGAGUGGCGAACUGGUGAGUAGCGCUUGGGGAACCUACCCUUGAGUGGGGAACAUGUCCGAAAGACGUAAAUCCCGCAUGACAUCUUCCGCUCGCAUGUGUAGAAGAUCAAAGGUGCCCUCUGAUUCAAGGUGCCGCUUGAGGAUGGCCCCGAGUCCUAUUAGCUUGUUGGUGGGGUAACGGCUCACCAAGGCGAUGAUGGGUAGCUGGCCUGAGAGGGUGGUCAGCCACACUGGGAUUGAGAUACUGCCCAGACUCCUAAGGGAGGCAGCAGUCGAGAGGCAUCCGCAAUGGGGGAAACCCUGACGGUGCGACGCCGCGUGGACGAUGAAGGCUUUCGGGUUGUAAAGUCCUGUCACAGGGGGGAGAAUUUCAUCCAGGCAAAUAGGCUGGGUGAUUGACGUUGUCCCUGCAGAAAGACCCGGCUAACUCCGUGCCAGCAGCCGCGGUAAUACGGGGGGGUCAAGCGUUAUUCGGAUUUACUGGGCGUAAAGGGCGCGUAGGCGGAAUCGUGGGUCGAUCGUGAAAUCCACCGGCUCAACCGGUGAACUGCGGUCGAAACUGCGGAUCUUGAGUUUGGUAGAGGAAGACGGAAUUCCUGGUGUAGCGGUGGAAUGCGUAGAUAUCAGGAAGAACACCAGUAGCGAAGGCGGUCUUCUGGGCCACAACUGACGCUGAGGCGCGAAAGCUAGGGGAGCGAACAGGAUUAGAUACCCUGGUAGUCCUAGCCGUAAACGAUGGGCACUAGGUGUUGGAGGAGUCUACCCCUUCAGUGCCGCAGCUAACGCAUUAAGUGCCCCACCUGGGGAGUACGAUCGCAAGGUUGAAACUCAAAGGAAUUGACGGGGGCCCGCACAAGCGGUGGAGCAUGUGGUUUAAUUCGAU